rnacentral:snRNA from 1 species
GGAUGUGAGGACGAUCUGGUGAUCUGGCUGUGCCAUCUGCCACCCCGCUGAUCACCAGGGUGACAAAUCGCAGCCAGAUCCUCCUCACACCAGAUCCUCUGCCUCUUCCCAGAAUAGAGACAGACCGGUCUUAGGUCGAUGGUAUAUGAAUAGCUGCGCUCCCCUGCUAGAACCUCCAUACAAGCUCUUAAGAGGUAAAUAAUAAACUAGAAUUUAGAGAGAAUGCUCUAUUUUAUGAAGGACACAAGGAGGUGAUGUAAUAGGGCCUAACUGG